UACGAAGGGGGCUAGCGUUGCUCGGAAUCACUGGGCUUAAAGGGCGCGUAGGCGGGCUAUCAAGUCCGGGGUGAAAUCCUCCAGCUUAACUGGAGAACGGCCUCGGAUACUGAUGGUCUCGAGGGAGAUAGGGGCACGCGGAACUGUGGGUGGAGCGGUGAAAUGCGUUGAUAUCCAUAGGAACUCCGGUGGCGAAGGCGGCGUGCUGGAUCUCUUCUGACGCUGAGGCGCGAGAGCCAGGGGAGCAAACGGG
rnacentral:rRNA from 1 species